GAUCUGAAAUCAGGUAGGGCUACCCGCUGAACUUAAGCAUAUCAAUAAGCGGAGGAAAAGAAACUAACAAGGAUUCCCCUAGUAACGGCGAGUGAAGCGGGAAGAGCUCAAAUUUAAAAUCUGGUUUGCUUUGCAAAUCCGAGCUGUAGUCUGAAGAAACGUUUUCCAUGAAAGCUGAGGCACAAGUCCUUUGGAACAGGGCAUCAUAGAGGGUGAGAAUCCCGUCCAUGGUCUCAAGCCUUUCAUUUUGUGAUACGUUUUCUAAGAGUCAGGUUGUUUGGGAAUGCAGCCUAAAAUGGGUGGUAAAUUUCAUCUAAAGCUAAAUAUUGGCGAGAGACCGAUAGCGAACAAGUACCGUGAGGGAAAGAUGAAAAGAACUUUGAAAAGAGAGUUAAAAAGUACGUGAAAUUGUUGAAAGGGAACCGUUUGAAGCCAG
rnacentral:rRNA from 1 species